UGCAAUGUUUUAUCAUGAUAUAGCAAGGGUGAGCAUGAAAGUUGCCCAGCAAGUUUAAAAACAAUGCAAAGAUAUAUCAUGAUGGAAAGAGUUUGAAUAAUAAGCUGACUAUCCUUCACAAUGUAUUUGUGAAUUAGCAUGAACAAAGUUUUGACUGAACAGGUAUUUAACAGGAAUAACAAUAUAUCUCGACCAACUGGUAAUGAAGGUGAUCAACCUUUCAUACCCGACUUAUACAUACAAGAUGUACAAAGUACAAUUCAUAAGCAUAUCUGUCUGAAACCACUCUUAAAAGAGUUUAAGUAAAAAGAACUUGAAAAACUUGCCUGAACCGUUGAUUACCGUAACGCAAUAUAAUACGCUUCUCCUGAAGACCUAAUAUUAAUAAUAUAGAUCUCCAAUAUUAGAAUAAUAUCAUCAUUGUUAUAAAAUAACUUAAACAUAUUUCCACAUACUCCUAUCAG
rnacentral:lncRNA from 1 species